AGGGAUCAUUACAGAGUUGCAAUACUCCAACCCUUUGUGAACCACAACCUCCAGUCGUUGCUUCGGCGGGCCCGCCCGCCGGAGGUUCAAACAAACUCACGUUUUCCAGUACGUCUUCUGAGCAAACAAGAAAAAAUAAAUCAAAACUUUCAACAACGGAUCUCUUGGCUCUGGCAUCGAUGAAGAACGCAGCGAAAUGCGAUAAGUAAUGUGAAUUGCAGAAUUCAGUGAAUCAUCGAAUCUUUGAACGCACAUUGCGCCCGCCGGUAUUCCGGCGGGCAUGCCUGUCCGAGCGUCAUUUCAACCCUCAAGCCCACUCCGGCUUGGUGUUGGGGCGCCCGGGGCUCCCAGCGGGCCCCGGGGCCCCCAAGUUCAUCGGCGGGCUCGUCGGAACCCUGAGCGCAGUAGCAAGGCCCUAAGAAGCCGAACCCCCUCGCUCGGCCCGUCCCGGCGUGCACACCAGCCGGUAAAGAGACCCCAACGGGAACGACAAAGGUGACCUCGGAUCAGGUAG
rnacentral:rRNA from 1 species